rfam:Picea glauca, whole genome shotgun sequence.
AAAUGAGAACUUUGAAGACUGAAGUGGGGAAAGGUUCCAUGUGAACAACACUUGGACAUGGGUUAGUCGAUCCUAAGAGAUGGGGAAUCCCUGUAUCAAGGGUGCACUCUGCACAAACAUCGAAAGGGAAUUGGGUUAAUAUUCCUGAACCGGGACAUGGCGGUGGACGAAAAUGUUAGGAAAUCCAGAGACAUCAUUGGGGGCCCCGGGAAGAGAUAUCUUUUCUUUUUAACAGCUUUCCCACCCUGAAAUUGGCUCAACCAGAGAUAGGGUCCAACAGCUGGAAGAGCAUCGCACGUCUUGCAGUGUCCAGUGCACCCUUGGCAGCCCUUGAAAAUAUGGAGGACCCAGUACUGUCCAUGCUCAGUUGUACUCAUAACCACGUCAGGUCUCCAAGGUGAAUAACCUCUGGUCAAUAGAACAAUGUAGGUAAGGGAAGUCGGCAAAACGGAUCCGUAAAUUUGAGAAAAGGAUUGGCUCUAAGGGCUAGGCCUAGGGGUCUGUGUCCUCAACCCAUAGGCUGUCAGUAGUUUACCUGAGUUGCUAUCACAGCGAGGGUGGGUAGUCGCGUGUCGAUUGGGGUACGGACAUAGAAUGUCCCCUCGCGGGGGCUUUUCCCUAGGCGACAAACAGUCGACUCAAAACCGGUAUGGGCAAGGGGAAUUCGACUGUUUAAUUAAAACAAAGCAUUGAGAUGGUCCCUACGGAUACUGAUGCAAUGUGAUAUCUACCCAGUGCUUUGAAUGUCAAAGUGAAUAAAUUCAACCAAGCGUGGGUAAAUGACAGGAGUAACUAUGACUCUCUUAAGGUAGCCAAAUGCCUCGUCAUCUAAUUAGUGAUGCACAUGAAUGGAUUAAUGAGAUUCCCACUGUCCCUAUCUACUAUCUAGCAAAACCACAUCCAAGGAAACAGGCUUGGUGGAAUCAGUGGGGAAAGAAGACCCUAUUGAGCUUGACUCUAGUCCGACUUUGUGAAAUGACUUGAGAGGUGUAGAAUAAGUGGGAUCCAUUUUCAACGCAAGUGAAAUACCACUACUUUUAAUGUUAUUUUACUUAUUCCAUGGGGUGGAGACGGGGAAUUGCCCCUAUUUUUGGCCUUAAGACACGUUUUGAUGGGUCAAUCCGGGCGGAAGACAUUGUCAGGUGGGGAUUUUGGCUAGGGCGGCACAUUUGUUAAAAGAUAAUGCAGGUGUUCUAAGAUGAGCUCAACGAGAACAAAAAUAUCAUGUGGAACAAAAGGGUAAAAGCCCAUUUGAUUUUGAUUUUCAGUAUGAAUACAAACAGUGAAAGUGUGGCCUACGAAUACAAAUAGGGAUAACUGGUUGUGGUAGCCAAGUGUUCAUAGCAACGUUUCUUUUUUAUCCUUCGAUGUCGGCUCUUCCUGUCAUUAUGAAGUAGAAUUCACCAAGUGUUGGAUUGUUCACCCACCAAUAGGGAACGUGAGUUGGGUUUAGACCAUCGUGAGACAAGUUAGUUUUACCCUACUGAUGAACCAUGCCACAAUAGUAAUUCAACUUAGUAUGAGAGGAACUGUUGAUUCACAUAAUUGGUCAUCGUGCUUGGUUGAAAAGCCAAUGGUGCAAAGCUACCGUGUGUCAGAUUAUGACUGAAUGCCUCUAAGUCAGAAUCCACACUAGAAGCGACACUUAUCACUCCUCAACUGUAUCUUGACCCAUAAUAGGGGUGUCGCUUCGGCACCCCCAGGGGAUCGUGUCACUUAUGAACCUUGUCCGGGAAGUGUCUCUGUCAGGGUAUCUUUGAAAUUCAAUUUCAAAGAGUCAUUGAGAAGAAUCCUUUGAAGUGUUUUCGAGUCUUGACCGUGGAAAAAACCGCCCAAGUGGGGGGAAUUCGGGGUUUCCUAGUCUCGA